rnacentral:rRNA from 1 species
GAUGAACGCUAGCUACAGGCUUAACACAUGCAAGUCGAGGGGCAUCAGGAAGAAAGCUUGCUUUCUUUGCUGGCGACCGGGUGAGUAACACGUAGGUAACCUGCCCAUGUGCCCGGGAUAACUGCUGGAAACGGUAGCUAAAACCGGAUAGGUAUGAGGGAGGCAUCUUCCUCAUAUUAAAGCACCUUCGGGUGUGAACAUGGAUGGACCUGCGGCGCAUUAGCUGGUUGGUGAGGUAACGGCCCACCAAGGCGAUGAUGCGUAGCCGACCUGAGAGGGUGAACGGCCACAUUGGGACUGAGACACGGGCCCAAACUCCUACGGGAGGCAGCAGUAGGGAAUUUUUCGUCAAUGGGGGGAACCCUGAACGAGCAAUGCCGCGUGUGUGAAGAAGGUCUUCGGAUCGUAAAGCACUGUUGUAAGUGAAGAAUG